CCUACGGGUGGCAGCAGUGAGGAAUAUUGGUCAAUGGCCGGAAGGCUGAACCAGCCAAGUCGCGUGAGGGAAUAAGGCCCUAUGGGUCGUAAACCUCUUUUGUCAGGGAGCAAAGGCGUUUACGAGUGGACGAAAGGAGAGUACCUGAAGAAAAAGCAUCGGUUAACCCCGUGCCAGCAGCCGCGGUAAUACGGUGGAUGCGAGCUUUAUCCGGAUUUAUUGGGUUUAAAGGGUGCUUGGGCGGAGUGUAAAGUUAGCGGUAAAAUUUCGGGGCUAAACCCCGUCGUGCCGUUGAAACUGACACCCUUGAGUGAGUGAGAGGUAAGCGGAAUGAGUGGUGUAGCGGUGAAAUGCAUAGAUAUCGCGCAGAACUCCGAUUGCGAAGGCAGCGUACCGGCGCCAGACUGACGCUGAGGCACGAAAGCGUGGGGAUCGAACAGGAUUAGAUACCCGAGUAGUC
rnacentral:rRNA from 1 species